rnacentral:tRNA from 1 species
GCCAUCGUGGUGGAAUUGGUAGACACGCCAUCUUGAGGGGGUGGUAGCGCAAGCUGUGAGGGUUCGAGUCCCUCCGAUGGCACCA